rnacentral:rRNA from 1 species
UACGUAGGUGACCAGCGUUGUCCGGAUUUACUGGGCGUAAAGAGCGCGCAGGCGGUCGUUCAAGUCGGGUGUGAAAGCCCCCGGCUCAACUGGGGAGGGUCAUUCGAUACUGAUCGACUUGAAGGCAGGAGAGGGAAGUGGAAUUCCCGGUGUAGUGGUGAAAUGCGUAGAUAUCGGGAGGAACACCAAUGGCGAAGGCAGCUCGCUGGGACGGUACUGACGCUGAGGCGCGAAAGCGUGGGGAGCAAACAGG